GCCCGUCGCUCCUACCGAUUGGAUGACUCGGUGAAAUCACCGGAUGCUUACGAGCAGAAAGUGAUUAAAUCACGUUAUCUAGAGGAAGGAGAAGUCGUAACAAGGUAACGGUAGGUGAACCUGCCGUUGGAUCAGUUCUAGUUUUAAUAACUAACACCAACUUCUUUUAUUAAACAAAAACCAAUACAAAAUUAAAAACUAACUUCAUCAAAAACCAAGUCUCUAAGCAAUGGAUGUCUUGGCU
rnacentral:rRNA from 1 species